CAGUAGCCGCGGGAAAACGGAGGGGGCUAGCGUUGUUCGGAAUUACUGGGCGUAAAGCGCACGUAGGCGGCUUGGUAAGUUAGAGGUGAAAGCCUGGAGCUCAACUCCAGAAUUGCCUUUAAGACUGCCGAGCUAGCAGGUGAGAGAGGUAAGUGGAAUUCCGAGUGUAGAGGUGAAAUUCGUAGAUAUUCGGAAGAACACCAGUGGCGAAGGCGGCUUACUGGCUCAUUCUAGACGCUGAGGUGCGAAAGCGUGGGGAGCAAACAGGAUUAGAUACCCGAGUAGUCCCUGUCUCUUAUAC
rnacentral:rRNA from 1 species